UUUUAGUUUUCAGCGGACACAACACAACAUCUUUCUUUGUACGUGGUGCUGAGGAUCGAACCUGGGCUGCACGCAUGCACUACCACUUGAGCCACAUCCCCAGCCCUUUAAUUAGCUCUUAUCUGUUACUAAAGAUUCUCACUAAUAGUGACUUGCCUUGCCUUCUCAUGUACUUCAUGGUCUUCAGUUGUAAACUCAUUGAUUGAAAUAAAUCUCAGAACAUUCUCCUCCAGAGAAGAUUUAUUUCUGCUUCUGUUAAUAGGUAAAUAUGCCACCAUUCAAGGAUUACUUCAGUAUCUUGGCUCAGUUCAUCCUUCCCAAUUCUGUGUUGGCCAAAGCCUUAGUAUCCUGAUAGCAGUACUACUAUCUGCAUUUUACUCAGAAUGAUUCUGGUUUGGGAUUCUUUGUUUGUUUGCUAGUUUUGUUUGGAGGUGAAGCACCUUUGGAAAACUCCCUAUUUUAUCAGAGUCCCACAGUGUCUCAAAGAAAUGGGUCCUGUCCAAGGUCUAAUUGUUCCUUAGCAGAUGGAUGCCUCAGUGCACCUCGUCAUCUGUAACAUUGUAUUUGGAAGUCCCUAAUAAAACAUUUUGCUUAUUACUCCAGA